ensembl:lncRNA
CAGUGAAUCCCACUUGAGGGCUCCAGCUGUACAGAACUGACUGGUUCCUGCAGUGUGUGACAGCAUGAGAGGAAAGACCUUAACACUUAGAGGCUUGCAAAGUUCGUAGUCACUGGUCUCAAUGGUGACCAGAAGAUUGUGAGGUGGAAGCAGGUUAGAUUGAUGGAAAAGCUGAUACCUCUUGUGGAAUGGUCAGAAAUGAACAUGAAAAUGAUGAAUAGCUAUCUCCCUCAGAUGUCCUUCCUUCACUGAAGACAGAAAAUGGAGAUCCAGAUUUCCCCAGAGUACUCUGCAGUACAUUUGCAUUGCUCAGAGUGGUAAGUAACCACUGGUCAGCAGGGAUGUGUGAUAGAGGAGCACUGCCAUACUGGUGACCUGGAAGUGUUAGGAGUUUCUGUGCCAGCUGACAGAGAUACUAAACAAGCUGAUUACACUGAUCUCAUGGACUGGCAAGGACCUGUGUAUGGGGAAUGGAGUUUUAAUCUGAAGUGUAUGGAGGUUUGGGCCUUGUUUGUAUCACCUGCCCCAAGGCAUAUGCCUAUGCCUUGGCAACUGAACUACCCUUGUGUCUUCGCUGUCUGCAUGGACUUGAGCUGAGAUUCAGACUCCAGGGACUGGCAUCUCAUGGUAUGAAAAGUGGAAAAUUGGUUGUUUUCUAGGUGCUUUGCCAAAAUGCCAUUUGCCCUCAAAUCUGCUAUUUGUUUAUGGAGAUGAGUAAUCUAUGCUUUCUCAAACAGUAUUAGGUGUUUAUCUUUCAGUAUCAAAGCCCUCCUGAAAGCACCCACCACACCCCAGAACGUCAUGAUGGCUUAGAUAUGCAGCUCAUAUAAUCUGAAACUGAUCUUAAUAAUAAUCUUACUAAACACAAGCUUUGAUAGCUGUUUCAGAUGCCUUAGAGUAUCAGCCAUGCAAGUGAGGCUGUUGAUAUUGCAAAGCGUUUCUGGAAGAACUAUACUCUUCUGGGCUGAUUGUGUCAAGCUGAGUGGGGCACUCUGCAUGCAACACGCAUACGCCGAGAUAUUGUAAGUCAGGAGCCGUAAGUCUCACCCACACAAAAUCUUGUAAUAGAACAAUUAAGUGAAUGUGCCAUGUUUUUAAAAUUGUUGUUGACAGAAAUAUUCUGAGGAAACCAGCUGUCUUUCAAGCUAAAGAGAUAUUAUGUCUUGAUACUGUUUGAGUAAGUAGCUUAAUAGAAUAGAAUGGGUUUAUUUUCCUUGUAUUUUUAAUUCUUCUGAACAUUUGUUUACAUAUUCUGUAAGAGUGGAACCUGGGAUUAUGGCUAGGGACCAGAAGCUUGCAGGUAGAAUGUUAAACAAUAGUUCCACUGAUUCAUCUGGGGGAAAAUCUUUGUCUAUACAAGUGAAAGAACCAAAUUAUUUUAAUCUAAGGAAAAAUAAUAUGAAGGCCUGAAUUCUGUAGCUUUGUGCAGUAUUUUUAGCUGUCUUUCUUCAGCUUUCAGGCAUCCCUGUGUACACAGCUGCAUUCCCUUUCCUCCUUGCACUUUUGGCCAAAUGCUUGGUGGUGUAGUUCGGUAUAAUUCCAUUGAUGUAACUUUGCCGAGUUACCCUGGCUGAAGGUUUCCCUCAGCCUGCCCAGU